UUCAGAUUGGGUGGCUGUGACAAAGAGAGGAAAAUAGAGUCCCUCCCUAUAAGGGUUUCACCAUUGAAGGAGCUUAUUUCAUCCCGUGGUGACAUGUUCAAUCAGUGUUGCUUUCCUUCGGAGGAUUUCUAUUUGUGAAUCUACAGGAAAUUUUUUUUUGAGUGCAGGAAUGUGCCAAAAAAUGGCAAAUGUUUUACUAGAAAAGAGAUGGAGGAUUACUGUUUUCAAAGGGUUAAGAAGCAUGGAUAAAAAUAUAGAAAGCUAUAUGAUCGGAUCAAUGAUUUACCAGAUGUGGUAUGUUGACAUUACAAACUUGGGCCUUUGCCUCUAGCUGACCCAUUAAGGAGGUGUGGACCGUAGUGAUGUGAAACUUCUCUCAAAUUGUUCAGCUUGAAGGUCCAAGUUUCAUAUUGGUUUCACUCCAAGGCAGGAUCUAGUUAUAUAUUCUGUUGCAUAUAUUGAUGGUAGACCAUAGGUUGAGUUUUGUUGAGAUGGCGGUGCCAUAUGGAGGCCCAAAUGAUUCCAAGCUAUGGUGAUAAGGGAAAAGCAUCAAUCAGGAGAGUGCCCUCAUGGAUAAUUCUAAAACAUCCAGCGAAAAUGGAAAUACAGGCCAGUCAAUGAAUUUUGUUGACAUUGAAAAUAUAAGAACAUUGAAAAUAAUGAGAUGCUUGGCAUGGCUUCUGGAAAUAUUGGUAGCAGAUUUGUUAGCCAAAAGGAAGUGUAUGUCAAGAUGCUCUAUUUAGUGGGAAGUGCUGCCAAGAAUUUUUCGUCUUAAAGGAUAUCACGUGGGAUGCUCAGGAAAGACUACAUUACUGAUUUGAUUGAGUUUAUUUAGGAUUGUUUGUCUUUGUUUUGGAUUGUUCUCUGUUGAUGGCCAUGCCGUAGGUGGAAAAGUGAUCUAAAAUCUAUAUGUUGUAUUUGCCUUCCGGGUAUGCCUGGACAUUAUUCAUGUAUUUCUGUUCCAUUUUUAUAUAUUUACAAGUCAGCUAAUGAAUAUUGUAGACAUUGAAAAUAUCAGAACAACAUUUGAUUUCGCAAAUAUUGAGAUGCUUGGUAUGGCUUUCUGUUAA